GUUGUGGAUUUAGUUUUGGUGGUUUAUCUUUAUUAUGUUGACUCUUUAAUUAUGAAAAAUUUAUUAAUUUGAUAUCAUGAAAAUUUAGGACGGUAAAAUAUUUUUAUAUUAUGAAAUUUAUUCGCUUUAAGACUUUAAAUAUUUUUAUUGUAUUUUGUGAUAUUUUAAGCAGUGAAUUAUGUUACGCUUUUAAAAAUUUUAUAUAUGUAUUUUGUAUUUAGAAAGUAUAGAAGCAAAAAAGGAAAAAAAAAUUUAUGGGUAACCCGCAU
rnacentral:lncRNA from 1 species